GACAGAGGGUGCAAACGUUGUUCGGAAUUACUGGGCGUAAAGCGCGUGUAGGCGGCUUGGCAAGUCGGGUGUGAAAGCCCUGGGCUCAACCUAGGAAGUGCACUCGAAACUGCUUCGCUUGAGUGUCGGAGAGGAAAGCGGAAUUCUCGGUGUAGAGGUGAAAUUCGUAGAUAUCGGGAGGAACACCAGUGGCGAAGGCGGUUGCCUGGAGCUUUGCUGACGCUGAUGCGCGAAAGCGUGGGGAGCGAUCCGG
rnacentral:rRNA from 1 species